rnacentral:lncRNA from 1 species
CAAAAAGAGCCUUUAGAUGGUGUCAGGAGGGGAAAUGCACGGUGCAGUCUUGCAAGUGGGAUGCUGUCAUCCCAUCUAGACAGAGAAACAUGCUAGUUCUUUCUUAUCCCCGAGGUCUAGGAAAGAAGAGAGUCGUGCUGCAGUAUCAUACAGUGCACAGCUGCAUCUCUGCCAUGCAUGUCUUAGUCCCCCAGUUUCAGUAAUCGAUGGCCAUGUAGGAGAGAACCCACGUCAUUCCACGUGUCUCAGGGGCAGAGCUGGCUCAGUGGACUCCUGCCCAUGGCUGCCAGCCGUGCCCCAUACCAGUGCACUCAGGAGCCGUGUUCAUGCAGAGGUGAGAGUUCAGGGGACACUCAGCCCAUCCGUUUGUCUCAACAGGCCAUGUGUCCGGCUCCGUGGAAGGGACUGCAACUGCUGGUGAGGCUUUCCCCUUCUUCCUGCUGUCCCCAUGCAUUCCAGUCUUCCCCUCCACUCUCCUUUGUCCCCAUCCUGUCACUACGUCCCCAACACACCCCAAUUUUGUCCACAUCUCCCCCCUCGCACUCCUCUGCACUCCAUCAACCCCAAGCUCUCUGUCCCCAUCCCUGCACUCUGUCCCCAGUCCCCAACAACCAGCAGGCCUCCACAGUCACUGCGGUGGUAUUGGUGACUGUCACCCUCCUCCUUUCUGCAGCGACCUUCUGGACCAUCAAGAAAGGUGAGGGCUUGUGGGAAGCGGGAGGGAUCCAUGAGGCUGUCACAGCUCUGAUGUGGGACACUUCUUCUUGCAGGUCCCUGCAGGGAGAGAUGCCGAAGGCAGCAGCACGUUCCCAGCCAGCAGAUGGAAAACACCGAGUAUGGAGAAAUCCAGUAUGCCAGCAUUGUCCACUUUCAAAGAGACAAGAAAAAUGGGAAAUCAUGAGAUACGUUUUCUAGCCACAGAUCACACUCUCCUCUCUGACUUCUGCAAACACCUCCCCUUGAUGUGCAGAACUGCAGCCCCUUGUUGCUGCUGCCAAAAUUGCAUGGAUCCUUCUCAGAAGCUCCAGAAAUGGUUCUAUUUGAGGAGCUGGAAGAACAUUUCUGAAUGUUUUAAAGAAAGCAAAAGGAGAAAAUCUCACCAACAAUUCUGA